rnacentral:rRNA from 1 species
UCCACGCCGUAAACGAUCAUCACUAGAUGUGAGUCUUGUUUUUCAGGAUUCGUAUCGUAGCUAACGCGUUAAGUGAUCCGCCUGGGGAGUACGGUCGCAAGAUUAAAACUCAAAGGAAUUGACGGGGGUCCGCACAAGCGGUGGAACAUGUGGUUUAAUUCGACACUACGCGAGGAACCUUACCUAGGUUUGACAUGUAAUCGCUAUCCGCCGAAAUGCGGAGUUUCAAGUUUAUUUGGACAGUUACACAGGUGCUGCAUGGCUGUCGUCAGCUCGUGUCGUGAGAUGUUGGGUUAAGUCCUUUAACGAGCGCAACCCUUGCCGUCAGUUGCUAUCCUUUAUGGAGCACUCUGGCGGG